GAUGAACGCUGGCGGCGUGCCUAACACAUGCAAGUCGAGCGAAGCACUUACUUUAGAUUUCUUCGGAAUGACGAAGUUUGUGACUGAGCGGCGGACGGGUGAGUAACGCGUGGGCAACCUGCCCUGUACAGGGGGAUAACAGUUAGAAAUGACUGCUAAUACCGCAUAAGCCCACAGCUUCGCAUGAAGCAGUGGGAAAAACUCCGGUGGUACAGGAUGGGCCCGCGUCUGAUUAGCUAGUUGGUAAGGUAACGGCUUACCAAGGCGACGAUCAGUAGCCGACCUGAGAGGGUGACCGGCCACAUUGGGACUGAGACACGGCCCAAACUCCUACGGGAGGCAGCAGUGGGGAAUAUUGCACAAUGGGGGAAACCCUGAUGCAGCGACGCCGCGUGAGCGAUGAAGUAUUUCGGGAUGUAAAGCUCUAUCAGCAGGGAAGAAAGUGACGGUACCUGACUAAGAAGCCCCGGCUAACUACGUG
rnacentral:rRNA from 1 species